rnacentral:rRNA from 1 species
UACGAAGGGGGCUAGCGUUGCUCGGAAUUACUGGGCGUAAAGGCUCGUAGGCGGCCAACUAAGUCAGACGUGAAAUCCCCAGGCUCAACCUGGGAACUGCGUCUGAUACUGGAUGGCUUGAAUCCGGGAGAGGGAUGCAGAAUUCCAGGCGUAGCGGUGAAAUGCGUAGAUAUCUGGAGGAAUACCGGUGGCGAAGGCGGCUUUCUGGUCUGUAACUGACGCUGAGGCGCGAAAGCGUGGGGAGCAAACAGG